UGCCCAGCAACUCCUAUCCAUACCUCCUCGCGGUACUGGCCGGGGUAUGAACAACCUAAGGGAAGAUCGGGUAACGAACCUCGGUGGCCCUUUUGCUGACAGGUAGGG
rnacentral:ribozyme from 1 species